rnacentral:rRNA from 1 species
AUUGAACGCUGGCGGCAUGCCUUACACAUGCAAGUCGAACGGUAACAGGUCUUCGGAUGCUGACGAGUGGCGAACGGGUGAGUAAUGUACCGGAACGUGCCCAGUUGUGGGGGAUAACUACUCGAAAGAGUGGCUAAUACCGCAUACGACCUGAGGGUGAAAGCGGGGGAUCGCAAGACCUCGCGCAAUUGGAGCGGCCGAUAUCAGAUUAGGUAGUUGGUGGGGUAAAGGCUCACCAAGCCGACGAUCUGUAGCUGGUCUGAGAGGACGACCAGCCACACUGGGACUGAGACACGGCCCAGACUCCUACGGGAGGCAGCAGUGGGGAAUUUUUGACAGUGGGCGCAAGCCUGAUCCAGCCAUGCCGCGUGCGGGAAGAAGGCCUUCGGGUUGUAAACCGCUUUUGUCAGGGAAGAAAAGGCUCCUUCUAAUACAGGGGGCUCAUGACGGUACCUGAAGAAUAAGCACCGGCUAACUACGUGCCAGCAGCCGCAGUAAGAC